rnacentral:rRNA from 1 species
CAGUCGCCACGGUAAUACGUAGGGUGCAAGCGUUAAUCGGAAUUACUGGGCGUAAAGCGUGCGCAGGCGGUUAUAUAAGACAGAUGUGAAAUCCCCGGGCUCAACCUGGGAACUGCAUUUGUGACUGUAUAGCUAGAGUACGGCAGAGGGGGAUGGAAUUCCGCGUGUAGCAGUGAAAUGCGUAGAUAUGCGGAGGAACACCGAUGGCGAAGGCAAUCCCCUGGCCUGUACUGACGCUCAUGCACGAAAGCGUGGGGAGCAAACAGGAUUAGAUACCCGUGUAGUCCCUGUCUCUUAUACA